rnacentral:rRNA from 1 species
AACGAACGUUCGCGGCGCGCCUAACACAUGCAAGUCGAGCGAGAAAGGGCUUCGGCCCUGGUACAGCGGCGCACGGGUGAGUAACACGUAGGCAAUCUGCCCCUGAGUGGGGGAUAACCUUCCGAAAGGAGGGCUAAUACCGCAUGAGACCACGACCCCGCGAGGGGAUGAGGUCAAAGCCGGCCACUUCACGAAAGCUGGCGCUUGGGGAUGAGCCUGCGGCCCAUCAGCUAGUUGGUAGGGUAAUGGCCUACCAAGGCGAAGACGGGUAGCUGGUCUGAGAGGAUGAUCAGCCACACUGGAACUGAGACACGGUCCAGACUCCUACGGGAGGCAGCAGUGGGGAAUCUUGCGCAAUGGGCGAAAGCCUGACGCAGCGACGCCGCGUGAGUGAUGAAGGCCUUCGGGUUGUAAAGCUCUGUGGAGGGAGACGAAUAAGGCAUGGCUAACAUCCAUGUUGAUGACGGUAUCCCUUUAGCAAGCACCGGCUAACUCUGUGCCAGCAGCCGCAGUAAAAC